rnacentral:rRNA from 1 species
UACGUAGGGGGCAAGCGUUGUCCGGAAUCAUUGGGCGUAAAGCGCACGUAGGCGGCCCUGUAAGUCCGUUGUGAAAGUCAAGGGCUCAACCCUUGAAAGCCGGUUGAUACUGUCGGGCUAGAGUCCGGAAGAGGCGAGUGGAAUUCCCGGUGUAGCGGUGAAAUGCGCAGAUAUCGGGAGGAACACCAAUGGCGAAGGCAGCUCGCUGGGACGGUACUGACGCUGAGGCGCGAAAGCGUGGGGAGCAAACAGG